UUGAGAAUUGCUCUUUCUAACUCUAUGAAGAACUGAGUUGGGAUUUUGAUGGGGAUUGCGUUGAAUCGACAGUAGAUGUUUUAAGAAAAAAUCAUCAAGUCAUCUUCUUUGCGCUUGCUCAUCUGCAUAUGGCAUUGCACAUCUUAAUGCCAGCAUGUACGAUAUGGAGACAAGAGAAUCAUACGUUCAAAGCCAAUCUGAACUACCUAACAGUAGCCUGUCUCAAAAAGAGGGCAGGACUGGCAAGAUGUCUCAGCAGGAAGAGGAAACGACACCAAGAGUUUCCAUGGUAAUCAGUCCAUGGAAUUAAAUCAAGCAGGAAACCUCUUCAGAAUGCAAAGUCAUCUUGCACAACAGAGAAGCUUGAAAUAUCCAGGAAGUGUGUCAUGGCCAAGUGAAAGAAAUGGAGAUGCGAAUACCUCCAUAAUGUAAACUCCCCAACCCUAAAAUAAACACUC